GCUCGUAGUUGAAAUUCGAGUCAGUUACUAGUUGGCUCUUCGUCAGUUAGUUAAUUGAUUCUCCGUCUACAAUCCCUUUUGCGCUUUAGGGUUGCAGCUGGGCGAGUAGACAAUUUACCUUGAAAAAAUUAGAGUGUUCCAGGCAGGUCUUCGCCGGAAUACAUUAGCAUGGAAUAAUGGAAUAGGACUUGGGUCUUUUGUUGGUUUUAGGAUCUGAGUAAUGAUUAAUAGGGACAGAUGGGGGCAUUAGUAUUUAAUUGUCAGAGGUGAAAUUCUUGGAUUUAUUAAAGACUAACUUAUGCGAAAGCAUUUGCCAAGGAUGUUUU
rnacentral:rRNA from 1 species